GAUGAAGAACGUAGCGAAAUGCGAUAAGUAGUGUGAAUUGCAGAAUUCAGUGAAUCAUCGAAUCUUUGAACGCACAUUGCGCCCCUUGGUAUUCCAUGUGGCAUGCCUGUUCGAGCGUCAUUUGUACCUUCAAGCUCUGCUUGGUGUUGGGUGUUUGUCUCGCCUCUGCGUGUAGACUCGCCUCAAAACAAUUGGCAGCCGGCGUAUUGAUUUCGGAGCGCAGUACAUCUCGCGCUUUGCACUCAUAACGACGACGUCCAAAAGUACAUUUUUACACUCUUGACCUCGGAUCAGGUAGGGAUACCCGCUGAACUUAAGCAUAUCAAUAAGCGGAGGA
rnacentral:misc_RNA from 1 species